rnacentral:hammerhead_ribozyme from 1 species
GGACUACUGAAGAGUCCCAAACUAGGACGAAACAGAUGUCCAGUAC